AGGUGAAUUUCAUGUUGGUGCCAGGCGCUGGACUGAGUCAUGGAGGUUAGUGUCCACAGCCCGCAGAGCACAGGUUGGGACUCCAGAACCCUGCCUUGUUGAGCCAGACACGCUAGCUUGCUGCAACACAGACCCAGGUCUGGUCCAUGCUCCCAAAGCUGCAGACUUUAACCGAAAACUGCUCAGCAAGUCACCUACCUCCAGCACCCAGAGCUGCAAACUGCGGUAGACACCCGGAGUGACAGGAGCCGAGAUGCAGUUAUUGCAGCUGACUCCCUAGAGCAGAACACCUCGGAGCUUGGACCAGGACCCCCAUUGUGAUAAGCGCGGCUGCUCGGACACAGGACAGAAAGAUGGCCCUUGCCCCAAAAGAUUUACAAGAUCUCAGAGCUCCAUUCCAUGGGGAGACUACGGCUGGCAGAUCUGGACCCUGCCAUCUGCCGUGUCUUUCGCAGAUGGGGGUCUGACUUUCCGUGGCAGUUUUGUUGUUUUCUGUCGUCUAAAUUCUCCUUCUUCAGAAAACCUGAGAACUCUUUCUCCGUGGCUGGGCCCAGCACCAGCAAUGCUACAGGAGGUUCCUCAGGAAUACGUCCACGUUCACCAGGCACCUCCCUGAAACUGAACUUUUGGAAAGACUCGUCAUUGGGUUUAGAUCAACUGACAGCAACUCCUGGGCACCUGAUUCUACUGCAGGGGAGGCAGCACAAAACCACUCUCUCCCCAAUCAGCACGAACCCAUCCCCCAGCUGGCAGCCUCGGGCCUGGACAGGGCAAUGGAGACUAGACUAUCCUCUCACUCCUCCAGGUCAGGAGUGUGAGUGGGGGAAGCUGGGGCUGCUGCUGGCCAGGCUGUGCCUGCUCUGAGUGUAAAUAGAGGGUUUCACUUCUUGUGCUUGUAGCAUUCGAGGGCCUGGGUUCCAUCCUCAGGGCUGACCCAUGGGGUCACGUUAUACCAGUGUGACAUUCUCUGGGAUUUCUCUCCGAGAGCGUCUCUGCAACAUUCUGGGACAUCCCUGCCACACUCCUGACCAGGACUAUGGACAUGCUAAAGAAGAAGCUGCCCCUAGACAAUCCAUUGCAGGUUUUGUACUGAGCCCAGUGCUUGAUGGGCCACAGCUUUGGGGGUCUGGCCAGUGCUGUGUGAGUACAUAGUGCAGACUUGGGGGCCAGCUCUGUUCUCAUUAACGCUGGAUAACUCACUGGAGUUACUGCAGACUUAGACCAGCGUGACCGAGAGCUUGUUUACAUGGGAAAGUUUGACAAGUUAGACCGAGUUAGUUAUAAUGCUAUAACCCUAGGGCAGGGGGGCCAACUUGAGCAUUAGAAAGAGCCAGAAUUUACAAAUGGACAUUGCCAAAGAGCCACAGUAAUGUGUCAGCAGCUCCCCACCAGCUCCCCCCCUCCACUCCCAGCUCCUGCCACGCACUGGCAGCCCUGCUGAUCAGCGCCUCCCCCUCCCUCUUCCUGAUCAGCAGUUUUGUGGUGUGCAGGAGGCUGUGGGGGAGAGGGGGGAGGA